UACGAAGGGGGGCUAGCGUUGCUCGGAAUCACUGGGCGUAAAGUGCACGUAGGCGGCUUGUUAAGUCAGGGGUGAAAUCCUGGAGCUCAACUCCAGAACUGCCUUUGGUACUGGCGAGCUUGAGUUCGGGAGAGGUGAGUGGAACUGCGAGUGUAGAGGUGAAAUUCGUAGAUAUUCGCAAGAACACCAGUGGCGAAGGCGGCUCACUGGCCCGAUACUGACGCUGAGGUGCGAAAGCGUGGGGAGCAAACAGG
rnacentral:rRNA from 1 species